rnacentral:rRNA from 1 species
UGGGGAAUCUUGCGCAAUGGGCGAAAGCCUGACGCAGCCAUGCCGCGUGAAUGAUGAAGGUCUUAGGAUUGUAAAGUUCUUUCGCCCGUGACGAUGAUGACGGUAACGGGAGAAGAAGCCCCGGCUAACUUCGUGCCAGCAGCCGCGGUAAUACGAAGGGGGCUAGCGUUGUUCGGAAUUACUGGGCGUAAAGCGCGCGUAGGCGGUUUUGCAAGCCAGAGGUGAAAUGCCUGAGCUCAACUUAGGAAUUGCCUUUGGGACUGCGAGGCUUUGAGGACGAGAGAGGUGAGUGGAAUUCCCAGUGUAGAGGUGAAAUUCGUAGAUAUUGGGAAGAACACCGGUGGCGAAGGCGGCUCACUGGCUCGUUUCUGACGCUGUAGCGCGAAAGCGUGGGGAUCAAACAGGAUUAGAUACCCCCGUAGUCCCUGAGCGGGCUGGCAAGGCGCAU